UACAGAGGGUGCAAGCGUUGUUCGGAAUUAUUGGGCGUAAAGCGCGUGUAGGCGGCUUUGCAAGUCGGGUGUGAAAGCCCUCGGCUCAACCGAGGAAGUGCGCCCGAAACUGCUGGGCUCGAGUGUGGUAGAGGAAGGUGGAAUUCCAGGUGUAGCGGUGAAAUGCGUAGAGAUCGGGAAGAACACCGGUGGCGAAAGCGCUCUGCUGGGCCGCAACUGACACUCAGGGACGAAAGCUAGGGGAGCGAAUGGG
rnacentral:rRNA from 1 species